UCUCUCUGAAUCUGCGAACGGCUCCGCAAACCAGUUGUAAACUAUGGCGAGCAAACCCUCGGGCCUCGGCCUGGGGGUGAUAAGGAUAACCCUGGUAAUUCUGAGGCUAAUACUCGACCGUACAAUCUGGCCGACCGGCAACGGGAAGCUGGAGGACGUGUGUUUUAUCGCAGAUGCGCCGGGAAAGGAUGCACGUUCAGACCGCCAUACAAACGGUAUCGGGUGGAACCGUCUCUCCUCCGGGGGGGGCGGGGAAGCUCGUGUCCGGGCGGCUCUCGCAAUGUGCUUCUGACCUAUCAACUAGAUGGCAGUGUAAGGGACAUGCUAUGGUUACAACGGGUACAGAGGAUAAGGGUUCGAUCCUGGAGAGUGGGCCUGAGAGAUU
rnacentral:rRNA from 1 species